rnacentral:rRNA from 1 species
ACGCGAGGAACCUUACCAGGUCUUGACAUCCCACUGACCGCUAUGGAGACAUAGCUUUCCCUUCGGGGACAGUGGUGACAGGUGGUGCAUGGUUGUCGUCAGCUCGUGUCGUGAGAUGUUGGGUUAAGUCCCGCAACGAGCGCAACCCUUGUCCUUAGUUGCCAUCAUUUAGUUGGGCACUCUAAGGAGACUGCCGAUGACAAAUCGGAGGAAGGUGGGGAUGACGUCAAAUCAUCAUGCCCCUUAUGACCUGGGCUACACACGUGCUACAAUGGACGGUACAAACGGUUGCGAAGUCGCGAGAUGGAGCUAAUCUGAUAAAACCGUUCUCAGUUCGGAUUGUAGGCUGCAACUCGCCUACAUGAAGCUGGAAUCGCUAGUAAUCGCGGAUCAGCAUGCCGCGGUGAAUACGUUCCCGGGCCUUGUACUCACCGCCCGU